AUUGAACGCUGGCGGCAUGCCUUACACAUGCAAGUCGAACGGUAACAGGUCUUCGGAUGCUGACGAGUGGCGAACGGGCGAGUAAUACAUCGGAACGUGCCUAGUAGUGGGGGAUAACUACUCGAAAGAGUGGCUAAUACCGCAUGAGAUCUACGGAUGAAAGCAGGGGAUCGCAAGACCUUGUGCUACUAGAGCGGCCGAUGGCAGAUUAGGUAGUUGGUGGGAUAAAAGCUUACCAAGCCGACGAUCUGUAGCUGGUCUGAGAGGACGAUCAGCCACACUGGGACUGAGAAACGGCCCAGACUCCUACGGGAGGCAGCAGUGGGGAAUUUUGGACAAUGGGCGAAAGCCUGAUCCAGCAAUGCCGCGUGCAGGAUGAAGGCCUUCGGGUUGUAAACUGCUUUUGUACGGAACGAAAAGCCCCGGGUUAAUACCCUGGGGUCAUGACGGUACCGUAAGAAUAAGCACCGGCUAACUACGUGCCAGCCGCCGCCGUAA
rnacentral:rRNA from 1 species